rnacentral:rRNA from 1 species
GAGUAACACGUGGAUAACCUACCUAUAAGACUGGGAUAACUUCGGGAAACCGUAGCUAAUACCGGAUAAUAUUUUGAACCGCAUGGUUCAAAAGUGAAAGACGGUCUUGCUGUCACUUAUAGAUGGAUCCGCGCUGCAUUAGCUAGUUGGUAAGGUAACGGCUUACCAAGGCAACGAUGCAUAGCCGACCUGAGAGGGUGAUCGGCCACACUGGAACUGAGACACGGUCCAGACUCCUACGGGAGGCAGCAGUAGGGAAUCUUCCGCAAUGGGCGAAAGCCUGACGGAGCAACGCCGCGUGAGUGAUGAAGGUCUUCGGAUCGUAAAACUCUGUUAUUAGGGAAGAACAUAUGUGUAAGUAACUGUGCACAUCUUGACGGUACCUAAUCAGAAAGCCACGGCUAACUACGUGCCAGCAGCCGCGGUAAUACGUAGGUGGCAAGCGUUAUCCGGAAUUAUUGGGCGUAAAGCGCGCGUAGGCGGUUUUUUAAGUCUGAUGUGAAAGCCCACGGCUCAACCGUGGAGGGUCAUUGGAAACUGGAAAACUUGAGUGCAGAAGAGGAAAGUGGAAUUCCAUGUGUAGCGGUGAAAUGCGCAGAGAUAUGGAGGAACACCAGUGGCGAAGGCGACUUUCUGGUCUGUAACUGACGCUGAUGUGCGAAAGCGUGGGGAUCAAACAGGAUUAGAUACCCUGGUAGUCCACGCCGUAAACGAUGAGUGCUAAGUGUUAGGGGGUUUCCGCCCCUUAGUGCUGCAGCUAACGCAUUAAGCACUCCGCCUGGGGAGUACGACCGCAAGGUUGAAACUCAAAGGAAUUGACGGGGACCCGCACAAGCGGUGGAGCAUGUGGUUUAAUUCGAAGCAACGCGAAGAACCUUACCAAAUCUUGACAUCCUUUGACAACUCUAGAGAUAGAGCCUUCCCCUUCGGGGGACAAAGUGACAGGUGGUGCAUGGUUGUCGUCAGCUCGUGUCGUGAGAUGUUGGGUUAAGUCCCGCAACGAGCGCAACCCUUAAGCUUAGUUGCCAUCAUUAAGUUGGGCACUCUAAGUUGACUGCCGGUGACAAACCGGAGGAAGGUGGGGAUGACGUCAAAUCAUCAUGCCCCUUAUGAUUUGGGCUACACACGUGCUACAAUGGACAAUACAAAGGGCAGCGAAACCGCGAGGUCAAGCAAAUCCCAUAAAGUUGUUCUCAGUUCGGAUUGUAGUCUGCAACUCGACUACAUGAAGCUGGAAUCGCUAGUAAUCGUAGAUCAGCAUGCUACGGUGAAUACGUUCCCGGGUCUUGUACACACCGCCCGUCACACCACGAGAGUUUGUAACACCCGAAGCCGGUGGAGUAACCUUUUAGGAGCUAGCCGUCGAAGGUGGGACAAAUGAUUGGGGUGAAGUCGUAACAAGGUAGCCGUAUCGGAAGGUGCGGCUGGAUCACCU